GGGCAAUCCUUUUCUUCUGAGGAAACACAGACCAUCGGCUUCACCAGGCAGUGACUUCAUUCCCAGCACCAAUUUCAUCACUUUUCCCCACAGACACAAAGACCGUGAUGACUUCUCCCAGGUCCAGCAAAGGUUUCGUGUUCUUUAAAUUCCCUGAACCCCCAAAUUACUCCUUUUGUUUAGAACAGGAGCUGCACUGGCCGUGGAAAAAUAGAACUUAUUCCACAGUCCAUGAAAAUGGCAGCUUCUGCCAUUGCAAGUUAGCUUUGCUUUGCCUUUAGAGAGGCUCACUCAUCUGCUUCAUUAAAAACUACCUAAACCCAUGUUUUUAAGAUACCAGAUUACCUGACAGUACAACUAUGGCCAGCUUUUUACCUCAUUAUAGGAGUAACUGGGGUUCAUUUAAUGCCCUGCUUGAGCUUAACUUGCCUCCAUUGGAAUUGCUGCCAUUUUCCUGUUCACUUCAGAUGCACUCUGUCCUUGGUGCAGUCAAUGUUAGGGACAAAGCGACCAGGAAAGAAAGGGGAGCACUCAGAGCAACUGCCUGCAGAGCCAGCCCCAAACCACGCUGAGCCCUAAGCAAGGUGCAUUACCAACAACCACAUCAAGGACUCCUCUUCCUCUUCCUCAGCGCGGGCUCCAUUGGAUUAAGAGCCACGAGGCCCGAGUCAGGGAUGAGUUCUGCAAGCUGACGUCCUGCCUGCAGGCUGAACUUGUGAACCCAAUUGUCUGGACUGCGGAGACAGGAAAGCACCACCACCACCACCACCGUAAGCAACAUCAAGCUUUUAUUUCAGCCCCCUGCAACGCUGCAUCAGUGACUGAGAUGGAGAAAACCUCUUUAUAAUCAACAUGGUAAUAUGCAACAUUACAGUAAUCAGAACCCUGUCUCUACAAUACUUCUGUGGAACAGCAAGUGGUUUAAGCAAACAAAACAAGGCGAAGUUUUACUAUUAUUGGCUUAUUUCUGAACUGCAGUCUGCCCUCACGCUUUCCCAUUCAAUUACAGUAAAAAUUCCCAGCUCUGUGGCCCCCCAGGGUGCUGUCAUCAAUGUAUAAAAUACACCCUUACACUUCAUGUGGUUUGGAGUCCCACGACCACAAAUGAAAGUUACAGGCAUGAGAAACACCACGUGGAAGAGAAGGAAAUAGGUGCAGUUGGCUCAGAGUCACCCAGCGAGUAUGAAGUCAAAGCAGGCACAGCAGAAGGGGAGCCCGAGUGCAUUCCCAUUCCUGCUGCAGUGAGCACAUUGAUCAGAAUCGAGCUGAGGCUUUUCUGCUUCAUAUUUGAAAGCAUCAAGUUUUUCUCCAUCUGCACGAGCGAGGCUCCCCUUGGGUUAAAAUCCUUCUAGAAAUGGCUUUGCUCCAAGGUGGUUUUUCCCUUUGAGGUGUUUGAAAAGCCAGAAUUAUCUCCACUAGGACAAGCUGGGCACAACCCAUCUCACAGUGUUCUCCCCACUCGGCCUGCCCCAGCAAGGAGCGCUUCUGAACCCCUCUGUUUCACAGCACUGAGUCAAAGCGGGGUUGGGUUGGGUUGCCUUUUUAAGCGCCUUAUGAGCUCUGAGAACACACACGUGCACAGUCAGAUCCUUUUCCUGUCUGGUUGGGUUAUGCCCAUCUCAAGCAACGGCUCUUUCCGUUGUGCACACUUGUUCUCUGACACUUGGCUGCUGUGUCUGUUGAGAUGUGAACAAGCAGCAACCAGUGUGGGAGAAAACCAAGGCCAAGGCACACACUGGUACCCACCGGGCUGAGCAGAAAUCAUGUAUCAUAGAGGAAAACCUUCAAAGAGCUUUCUUUGGCUUUCUGCUUGCUUUUGAGAGGCACUUAGAAAGAAGAAAUCCAGGUGAGAAGGUCCAGACCCCAAAGAGGCGCUGGCACAUCCCACACCAACAUGCCAAAGGUAUAAAGGCACUUUCCUACAGGACACAGGGCUGAGCAGCUGGAUCAUGGAGACAGGAAUUAGGAACCUUCAGUGCCAAGCUGACCUCAGGGACUGGGUCCUGGGCAGAUUCCCACUGUGGGCCUCAGUUUCCCCACUCUAAGGGCAGCUCUAACACUUGGUCUUUUUGCUGAAACACUUUAGAGGUGCAUAGAGAGAAAGCAAUAAAUAAAACAUGAAGCUUAAA